AACCCAUGUAGGUGAACCUGUUGUGACAUAUAUUGCAUUAUUUUACUGCUGGUUAUGACACAAAUUUAAGAGUGUCAAAACACACAUUUAUUCAAAUACUUUUUUCCCUGCCAAGAAUCCAAAAAGAGGGUGUCUUGUGUCCUGCUCCUGAAGUCUACUCCUGCAUUCAUCCCAGUCACUAGCAAUAGAGCAUUGUGGGAGAGAUCCUAAUCCUUCAACCUGUCAGCAGACUCUCACAGGGACUGAGCUGGUGAAGACCAGUGUGAUGUAGCUCUCCCUCACUGUGUACCACAUGAGUAGCAUCAGUCAAUCUGGUAAUUAAUGGCAUCAC
rnacentral:lncRNA from 1 species